rnacentral:lncRNA from 1 species
CGCGCACAAAAUCAGGGUCGUCCAUCUCCCCCAGACUCCAGCUCGGCCGCCACAGCUGCCUCACCCCGUGCCACUACACCAACCGUGCGGCCGUCCCACUACUCGGUUUGGUUACAAGGAAUGCAAAAACCCACGUCUUGUUCACCGAGAAAAGGCCUGACUAUUGAGCUGGCCCAUUAGCAAAGGCAUUGCCAAAACAACAAAAUGGACAACAUCGAGUUCCCAUGUCGGACAUCAUCAGAGCCCAAGUUACAAAAGCACCAUUUUCUGCACCUAGCUAACGCCAACACAACAGGCACAUGAGUCCACCAAUGGCCAUCGCUGCAUGGGUAAGGUUCUCUAGAACAACACCCCCAUGAAGGACGCGACGUGAAACGCCGUCAUUGCUCGUCCAGAAACAUAAUCAAGUUAUUUCCUCCCCGCACGCACUCCCGCACUCACGCACGUAUGCCCGGUUCCCACGCACUCCUCCCCUCCUCGGCGGUAGCGGGCGUCGGCAGGCGGCAGCGGCAGCUGGAGGGAAGGAGGCAUGCAGUGGCGCACGAGGGGGGAGGCAGCGGCGCUCUCCCCUCCCAGAUCCGGCGGUGGCGGGCUCGGGAGGGGCCGUUCGUGGGCGGGAGCGGCGCCGGGGGGCUAAGGUGUGGACACCCCGAGUAUUAUACCAUCCAGUGUCCAACGCGACCACCACAUAUUAUUGGAGAAGUGGGAUCCAUACACGCAUAAAUAGCCAUUCGUCCUCAAUGUGUCCAUGAUCGCGGUUGACAACCUUCUGUUAUAAUAACCGGAAUGUCGAGUAGUGAGCGCAAGACAUAACUGUAAGAUAGCUUGCCAGUCCACUCUGUCAUAUGCCUGUCAACCACUCGAAGGUGGCGACCAAAAGCAUACCCCAGUGACUCGAUCCAAAGUGCUAUCCCCGAUUAUCUCAAGCGAUCAAAACCCGUUACUCAUGCUUAGCUAGUCCCCAGGAAUGCGACUAGCCUCACACUUUUAUCGCAAGCAAUUAAUAAACAUAGCAAGUACCAUAAUAGGGUUAAAGUGCAGUGAGGUACAUGACACAUAAUAGGGUCCAAGGUCCCAACAUACAACACAUAAAUAUAGCAGCGGAAGUCUCAAAUAGAGUUCAUAAGCAAAAGAUAAAACCGGUGGUGCCACAAUCCCACUAGGGCAAACCAACCGGGUAAGAGCCAAGCUGCAAGAGGUCACUCAUUGCCCUCGUCGCCCUCGGCAGAGCAAUGACCACACAAGAAGUAUAACUCAUAACCGGAAUCCUCUCCUGAAAUUGCAGACACCGGGUUAAGUACAAGAUUGUACUCGCAAGUCUUACCCAAAAUUGUAUAUACAUAAGGGAGAGAGAAGUAUGCAAGCUUUCUAGCCUAUAGUGGGUCUCUAGGUUCAACAUUUGCAUAAAGCUAAUUUUUGUAAGCAAUUAAUGAGUAAAAUAAGCAAGGACAAGUAAAUCUAGCAUCAUUUUAAUUUAUGGACAGUAAGUAUAUAAUUCUGAAAUGUAUAAGCAAAUGAGCCCAAACGGCACUCUCAUCAUCAACCAUGGACCACCAAAGUCCAUACCAACAUGGCACAAUAUGCCAACACCACCAUCAAACAUAAUCCCAUCCAUAAUAAUCCACAUUUGAUGCUAACAUAACUGACUAACACAUCAAGCAUUGUCCAUAACCGAGGACACGACUAUUCGAAUAGAUUAUACUCUGAUCAGAGGUGUACAACUGGACCCACACGAAAUGAACAAGGAUCAAAAGCUACACACCCCGACGAGUGCGGUACACGAGUGAUACAAGCUCAUUACAUGCCUUUCCUAAUCCCACCCCAACCAUCUAUACCACGUCGGGGUUCCCGACGACUCAGUCACGUGCGUGCAUGAUGUGACCAAGGCGGGCGCGCCACGCGGGAGGCACCCCCGGCCAAACCUAGGCACCCGAGGCCCUCCAAAGGCUACCUGCCUCACGACUCUCCAACGUGGUAUAAAUGAUCACAGUAGAACUAGUAAGAACAAGCCGGUCCCAAAUAAGACAUGUGGUAAGUACGUAAGAUGCUUGAUUAGAUGUCAAAAUGUUCGGUCCUUAACGACCUAGACGAGGCUACUUGCAUCAGGGGAAACCAACCUCCCAUCAUCGUCCUAUCACCCGUCCAAGUCCAACAUAUUUUAUCAACCAUUAUUUAGUGUAAGUGCUCAAGUUUUAUGCCCAAUAAUGCAAGUUGUCUAUAUACCACAAUUAAUAGCACUGUCCAUCCCUAUAGUUCUAUUAACACUAAGCAUGGCUAAGCAUUAAUGAAUAAGACGUCCCAAGUAAUCCCAACUAGUGGUAAUAGGGUAUAAGGACAACAAUAUCACAAGAACUAAAUGCAUAAAUAGGUUCUACCCAUACACCAUAAACCGACAAUAUUAAUAUCUAGGCAAUGCAUGCAUAUAUAUACGUAUAGAUUGCAACCAAAUCCUUUUUAGAGAAAGCAUAGGUUCUAUAUGCUAAGGUGCUUGCCUUGCUGCUGAGGGUAGUAACUAUCCUCCUUGGGAUAUGGCUCGUUACUCUCCGGAAUCUCCGAAUCUAUCGAAAAGAAGCAAUAUGCGAAUAACAGCCAAGUAAACAUGCACAUGUAAAAUGAUCAAUAAAUUAUGAAUAAAUACAGUGGGUAGAUCAUAUUUUAACUUGAAUUUAGGUGAAAGAAUCAUCAGAUUAUCACUUAUGGUUUGGGAGAUAUGAAAAUGACAAGAUCUCAGGUGCUGAAAAUGGCAGUUCUGAAAAUUUUAGUGUUUCCUUUAGAGCAUUACAAGCAACUUGCAACUCAAACCAAGUUUUCAUAAUAAUGAUUAUUUUUAGAGUAAAGUACAUCACUCACGGGUCCGGUCCUAAGAAAAUAUAUUUCACAGCUGUAUGUGUUGUCAUUAUUUAUAUAUGGGUUUUACAAGUUAAAAUCAUGGGAAUGCUAAACAACUACUAAACAAGAUUUAAGAGGUAGUUUUGCCAAAAACAACACCACAACAGCAAAGAGUACUAAAAUAUAAGCUCAACAAAAUUGGUUUCACAAUUUUAGCUUUUACCAAUAAAUUCUUACGAAUUUAUUAAGAGCUAGACCACACAAGGGAUACAUAUAGAUAUUUAUGUUUUUACUGGGAAAACCAGUACAAAAGUUGGUCAUUUUUAUUUUACAACAUUGAAUAUCACGUUUUUCUUAAUCCACAGAAAUUUUGUUCAGCUCAAACGGAAUUCAGAUGAAUUUUCUACACAUUUUUGAAUUUAGUACAAUUUCAGCGCAUGUUGAAAACAGUUUUCCAUUAAUAGUCCUCGAACUUCCUGGAUAUUACAGAGCGGUCAAGGCUACAGUGCUAUAUGUCUUGGUCUGUUUUUUUUUGGGAAAGAACCCUCAAGUUUAUCUAAUUCACCGAUGAGGUCCCUGGCUCGAGCUUACGGGGAGGCAGCCAUGACUGGGCUCAGUCUAGAGCUUGCCGGCAGCGAACAGAGGCUCGGAUGGGGUCGAGUUCAACAGAGAAACUGUAGAGGAGGUCCAUGCGAACACGGAGGUGUCCGUGCUGAUGAAAGAGGUGGUCUAUAGCUCGUGAAAAACAAGCUACAGCGGCGGUGGUUCUUGGAAUGUGCAUGCAUGUCGAGCUACAGUUCGGAAUGGGCUAUAUGGGUGCAUGCAUGGGUUGUUUAGGGGUAUGCAGUGUCUCACCGUGCAGCUGAAAGGGGUCGGAGAGGUCCAGGAAGCAGCGAUGGCGUUGGAGAUGCCCGGCAACACAACAAACACGAUGACGACCCGAGAACGACUAGAUCUGGCCAUAAAAACCCCAAAUAAACGUUUGAAUGAGCUAGAACAUUGCAUGCAGAGUCUUUUUGGCCAGGGUAAAGGAUCUGGAGCUCACCAAAUGGAGGAAAACAAAAUGCUGCUGCUGCCCUGCAGGCUGAAACCACCACUCUUUUAUUCCUUCUCGAUCUCUCUCAACUCUCCUUGCACAUUAUGUUGGGAUGGAUGGAAAGCUUGGAUGAUGGGGAUUGUUGUGGUCUAACAUGCAGGGAU